GUAUAUGAUAAUAAUAUACGCACACCCGGAUCCGACGGAUUUUUUAACCCUUUGGGUGAUCGCACACGCGCGCGGCGACGGCAGAUUUCACUUUCGUCGUCGUCGCGUACCGGUUUCCGGUUUACAGUCAGCUCGCGUGCACGCCAUUAGGACGAGGUGCGCCCGUUAUUUCAGAAUGCGGUUAAAGUGUAUCGGAUGAUAUUCAGUGUUU